rnacentral:rRNA from 1 species
CGGCGGACGGGUGAGGAACGCGUGGGUAACCUGCCCUGUACAGGGGGAUAACACAGAGAAAUCUGUGCUAAAACCGCAUAAGCUCACGGGACCGCAUGGUCUUGGGAGAAAAACUCCGGUGGUACAGGAUGGGCCCGCGUCUGAUUAGCUAGUUGGAGAGGUAAGAGCUCACCAAGGCGACGAUCAGUAGCCGGUCUGAGAGGAUGGACGGCCACAUUGGGACUGAGACACGGCCCAAACUCC